GCCAGCAUGGCAUAGUGGUUUGUUCAUUGGGCUACAACUCUGGAGACGAGGGUUUCAAAUCCCUCUGCAGCCA